AACGAACGCUGGCGGCGUGCUUAACACAUGCAAGUCGAGCGGGAAAGUCCCCUUCGGGGGGCGAGUACAGCGGCGAACGGGUGAGUAACACGUAGGUAACCUACCCUGGGGACCGGGGAUAACCUGUCGAAAGGCGGGCUAAUACCGGAUAAGACCACGAGAGCUCGGCUCUUGAGGUAAAAGGUGGCCUCUGCUUGCAAGCUAUCACCCCGAGAUGGGCCUGCGCGCCAUUAGCUAGUUGGUGAGGUAACGGCUUACCAAGGCUGAGAUGGCUAGCUGGUCUGAGAGGAUGACCAGCCACACUGGGACUGAGACACGGCCCAGACUCCUACGGGAGGCAGC
rnacentral:rRNA from 1 species